UAGCGGCAGGCCUAACACAUGCAAGUCGAGGGGCAGCGGGGAAAAGCUUGCUUUUCCGCCGGCGACCGGCGCACGGGUGCGGAACGCGUAUGGAACCUGCCCCUGUCAGGGGAAUAGCCCAGGGAAACUUGGAUUAAUGCCCCAUGGUACCAUUAUAUCGCAUGAUAUUAUGGUUAAAGAUUUAUCGGACAGGGAUGGCCAUGCGUACCAUUAGUUAGAUGGUGAGGUAACGGCUCACCAUGGCAGCGAUGGUUAGGGGCCCUGAGAGGGGGAUCCCCCACACUGGUACUGAGACACGGACCAGACUCCUACGGGAGGCAGCAGUGAGGAAUAUUGGACAAUGGUCGGGAGACUGAUCCAGCCAUGCCGCGUGCAGGAUGACUGCCCUAUGGGUUGUAAACUGCUUUUAUACGGGAAGAAACCACCCUACGUGUAGGGUGCUGACGGUACCGUAAGAAUAAGGACCGGCUAACUCCGUGCCAGCAGCCGCG
rnacentral:rRNA from 1 species